AAAUCACAUCGUGACAUUGCUUGGAGAGAGGGAAGACAACUUGGAGAGAGGGAGGAUAUGGUAAAGAAUGUGUGGCUUCCAAAUGUUGUUAGAUGCUAUAACAUUUAUCAAUCCUAGCUAGGAUAACCAAUUGUGAGGGAUCCUGGGCAUGGCACUUGAGAAGGCUGUGUGAUUUCUACCACUAUUGUAGCUCCUAAAAUUGUUUAGGAGUGUUUCUCCACCAUUAGUCACCCUUUUGUUUGGUACUUUAGCUCCCAGAAUCUAUCAUCUAUGUUGGAGGAGAUUACCUAGAGCUGAAGGUGUCAAACAGUUCGGAGGAUCAACGGUUUGAUUUCAGGCUUUCCAAAAUGUCAAUCAUGUCAAGAUGCUCCAUAUUAGACAUCAUUAUGAACUAGGCUAACCAGAGAAGUUUUACAGACAGUGGUGAGCUAAAAGAGAAAUAAUUAGCUGCUGUAACAGCUGGGAACUUGUCUGUUUUACAUGUGUACAGGUGCUGUUUUCCUGAGGCAGCAGCUAGUAGAAACUUCAGUCCAACAACUGGGAUUAUAUUGAUUCUGCUGCCAGUGGAAGGAGAAAUUGCCUGCUUUGGGCCAGAACAGCUUUGACCUUCCGUCGUCUUCUUGACGGACGCCAUCUCCUGCUUUGGAUUUCGGACUGAACUGACCACGGCUUGACUUCCCCCUACUCGGACUUGGAAACUACAAACGUCUGCUUCUGGCUUGAACUACGGAAAGGAACUGGGUCUACUCUACUGCUUCAAUCCUCGGCUGAUCUGUGUGUAUUGGAAAUCUUGCCUGCUGUGUGGAGGAGUGACUCAAGUUACUCAAAGCACAGUGCUGGCAGCAGAGAGGAAUCUGCUGCCAAUUAAUUGCAUUCUUUUGAACACUUUGUUCCCCGGCUUCUGUUUUGUUUAUCCCCAGGCUGAAGCAAGCUCUUUUAUUUUUACCCGGAUUAAACUCCGGUUUAAUCCGGUUUAUCUUUUGAACGUUUUUCCUUGCCCCUUUUUGCUUUUAAAGGCUAAUACUGCCUGGCCCUUGUAUUUUACGGGCAUUUUGAGUUCUGUAAUCCAAUAAACUCUGUUAUCUUCGA